rnacentral:rRNA from 1 species
CCUACGGGAGGCAGCAGUAAGGAAUAUUGGGCAAUGGACGCAAGUCUGACCCAGCCAUGCCGCGUGGAGGAUGAAGGUCCUCUGGAUUGUAAACUUCUUUUAUCUGAGAAGAAACCCGGGAAUUCUUUUCCGGUUGACGGUACCAGAUGAAUAAGCACCGGCUAACUCCGUGCCAGCAGCCGCGGUAAUACGGAGGGUGCAAGCGUUAUCCGGAUUCACUGGGUUUAAAGGGUGCGUAGGUGGAUUGGUAAGUCCGUGGUGAAAUCUCCGAGCUUAACUCGGAAACUGCCGUGGAUACUAUCAAUCUUGAAUACUGUGGAGGUAAGCGGAAUAUGUCAUGUAGCGGUGAAAUGCUUAGAUAUGACAUAGAACACCGAUAGCGAAGGCAGCUUGCUACACAGUUAUUGACACUGAGGCACGAAAGCGUGGGGAGCAAACAG